rnacentral:tRNA from 1 species
GUCCCCAUCGUCUAGGGGUCAGGACUCGGGAUUUUCGAUCCCGUAACAGGGGUUCGAAUCCCCUUGGGGACA